UCGGGGUGGAUUAGUGGCGAACGGGUGAGUAACACGUGGGCAAUCUGCCCUUCACUCUGGGACAAGCCCUGGAAACGGGGUCUAAUACCGGAUAAUACUUUCCCUCUCAUGGGGGAAGGUUAAAAGCUCCGGCGGUGAAGGAUGAGCCCGCGGCCUAUCAGCUAGUUGGUGGGGUAAUGGCCUACCAAGGCGACGACGGGUAGCCGGCCUGAGAGGGCGACCGGCCACACUGGGACUGAGACACGGCCCAGACUCCUACGGGAGGCAGCAGUGGGGAAUAUUGCACAAUGGGCGAAAGCCUGAUGCAGCGACGCCGCGUGAGGGAUGACGGCCUUCGGGUUGUAAACCUCUUUCAGCAGGGAAGAAGCGAAAGUGACGGUACCUGCAGAAGAAGCGCCGGCUAACUACGUGCCAGCAGCCGCGGUAAUACGUAGGGCGCAAGCGUUGUCCGGAAUUAUUGGGCGUAAAGAGCUCGUAGGCGGCUUGUUGCGUCGGUUGUGAAAGCCCGGGGCUUAACCCCGGGUCUGCAGUCGAUACGGGCAGGCUAGAGUGUGGUAGGGGAGAUCGGAAUUCCUGGUGUAGCGGUGAAAUGCGCAGAUAUCAGGAGGAACACCGGUGGCGAAGGCGGAUCUCUGGGCCAUUACUGACGCUGAGGAGCGAAAGCGUGGGGAGCGAACAGGAUUAGAUACCCUGGUAGUCCACGCCGUAAACGUUGGGAACUAGGUGUUGGCGACAUUCCACGUCGUCGGUG
rnacentral:rRNA from 1 species